GAUUAGGGAAUUGGGGAGUUAUGCACAAACUAAGAUGGGAGCAAGAAAUGAUAUAAAUGAUAUCGAGGAAAACAGAAAUGGAUAAAUCUACAGAUCAUCCUUGGAAGGCUCUUCUUCCAUCGUGUUGUCGGCGUCCAGCGUCUCUUCAGUUUGAUCGUCCAUAUCAGUUUUAUCGUCCUCAUUAUCAGCAUCAUUCUCUGCCGUUUGUUUUACACUUGUAAACACUGGUGAUGGGGAUUUCUUUUCAGAAGAUCUCUCGGGGCGAUGACUUGAAGUCUCAAAGUCAGGAGCUGUAGACUUCGCUACGUCGUGAUCAUCUUCAACGUCUGAAGCAUGUUUUGCAACGGGAGACAUGCUGCCUUCCCGAUUUUUCU